UCAAACUUGGUCAUUUAGAGGAAGUAAAAGUCGUAACAAGGUUUCCGUAGGUGAACCUGCGGAAGGAUCAUUAAAGUAUCUCCUCGGGGAGGGAGGCGAGCCCUGCUCCGACCCACCGGUCGUGCAGCGGGCGAGCCGACCGACCGAAACCUUACAAACCCCCUGUGCACUUCAGCGGCAGAGGGAUCCCUGGGCGAGAGCUCGGGGGGCCCGAAACCGUUACCUUACAAACCCUUUAACACAAAAGAAUGCGUUGCGGCCGUUGCGUCGCCUAACAAACGAAACAACUUUCAACAACGGAUCUCUUGGCUCUCGCAUCAAUGAAGAACGCAGC
rnacentral:misc_RNA from 1 species